rnacentral:misc_RNA from 1 species
AAGUCGUAACAAGGUUUCCGUAGGUGAACCUGCGGAAGGAUCAUUAAUGGAAUAAACCUGGUGGACUGUCGCUGGCUCUUGAGAGCAUGUGCACGUCUGUCAUCUUUAUCUUUCCACCUGUGCACCUUUUGUAGACCUGGAAUGCUUAAUAUAUCAAUCUGAGGUCAACUCAGGCGUGAGGACUGUCGGCGUCGCAAGAUAUCGGCUUUCCUUGUAGCAUUCCAGGGACUAUGUUUUUCAUACACACUUUAAAAAAUCUAAUAGAAUGUCGUUUUAAAAAGGUCUUUGUACCUAUAUAAAACAAAUAUACAACUUUCAGCAACGGAUCUCUUGGCUCUC